rnacentral:tRNA from 1 species
GCAAGUAUAGUUUAACCAAAACAUUAGACUGUGAUUCUAAAAACAGAAGUUAAAAUCUUCUUACUCGCC